AACACAUGCAAGUCGAGCGGUAACAGGGGAGCUUGCUCUGGGUGACGAGCGGCGGACGGGUGAGUAAUGUCUGGGAAACUGCCUGAUGGAGGGGGAUAACUACUGGAAACGGUAGCUAAUACCGCAUAACGUCGCAAGACCAAAGAGGGGGACCUUCGGGCCUCUUGCCAUCAGAUGUGCCCAGAUGGGAUUAGCUAGUAGGUGGGGUAAUGGCUCACCUAGGCGACGAUCCCUAGCUGGUCUGAGAGGAUGACCAGCCACACUGGAACUGAGACACGGUCCAGACUCCUACGGGAGGCAGCAGUGGGGAAUAUUGCACAAUGGGCGCAAGCCUGAUGCAGCCAUGCCGCGUGUGUGAAGAAGGCCUUCGGGUUGUAAAGCACUUUCAGCGAGGAGGAAGGUGGUGAGCUUAAUACGCUCAUCAAUUGACGUUACUCGCAGAAGAAGCACCGGCUAACUCCGUGCCAGCAGCCGCGGUAAUACGGAGGGUGCAAGCGUUAAUCGGAAUUACUGGGCGUAAAGCGCACGCAGGCGGUUUGUUAAGUCAGAUGUGAAAUCCCCGGGCUCAACCUGGGAACUGCAUUUGAAACUGGCAAGCUAGAGUCUCGUAGAGGGGGGGUAGAAUUCCAGGUGUAGCGGUGAAAUGCGUAGAGAUCUGGAGGAAUACCGGUGGCGAAGGCGGCCCCCUGGACGAAGACUGACGCUCAGGUGCGAAAGCGUGGGGAGCAAACAGGAUUAGAAUCCCUGG
rnacentral:rRNA from 1 species